GGGAAGAGGGAGGAGUGUAAGAGGAGGGACCCCACCAGGGCCACCCUGGCAAGGGAGAGGAGGCCCGAGGCACAGCCCAGAACCAGGCCUCCAUCAGUGUGGGUAUAGUUGGGGGCACCCAGGGCCAGGCCCAGCCCGUCUCCAAAAAGCCUGUCUGGUAAGCGUGGGUUGCCACCAUGCCAGGGGCUGGAGGUCUGAGAACAAGGCUGCAGGCUGGCGGGGGAAGGGCGGGAUGACCUUCAAGGAAGGGGGCUCCUUCACCAGGGGCCUGGCUCCGGCCCUCUCCUCACCAGGGCCAUGAGCCAAACACAGAGCAGUCACCCCCAUUCUCACCCCUGGUGGCCUCCCUCCCUGCUUUCUUUCCCACUCAUCGCCAGACUGGGUUCUCUGUCCUCUACAGGAAUCAGCUUAUCCCUACUUCCAGGUCUCUUCCCUGCAGAAUCCACCCCCCACCCACCCCCACACACGUGCCCACUGCAAAAGAGCCAGACUACGGACCCACCACUGGUGCCUGCACUGGUGCCCCAGCUCCCCCACCUGAAAUAAAAGCAGUCGAUGAAACAAGA